rnacentral:rRNA from 1 species
UACGUAGGGCGCAAGCGUUGUCCGGAAUUAUUGGGCGUAAAGAGCUCGUAGGCGGUUUGUCGCGUCUGUCGUGAAAGCUUGGGGCUUAACCCCAAGUCUGCGGUGGAUACGGGCAGACUAGAGGCAGGUAGGGGAGAACGGAAUUCCCGGUGUAGCGGUGAAAUGCGCGGAUAUCGGGAGGAGCACCGGUGGCGAAGGCGGUUCUCUGGGCCUGUACUGACGCUGAGGAGCGAAAGCGUGGGGAGCGAACAGG